UACGGAGGGUGCUAGCGUUGUUCGGAAUUACUGGGCGUAAAGCGCGCGUAGGCGGACCUGCAAGUCGGGGGUGAAAGCCCGAGGCUCAACCUCGGAACUGCCUUCGAUACUGCGGGUCUCGAGUCCGAGAGAGGUGAGUGGAAUUCCUAGUGUAGAGGUGAAAUUCGUAGAUAUUAGGAAGAACACCAGUGGCGAAGGCGGCUCACUGGCUCGGUACUGACGCUGAGGCGCGAAAGCGUGGGGAGCAAACAGG
rnacentral:rRNA from 1 species